GACGAACGCUGGCGGCGUGCCUAAUACAUGCAAGUCGAACGCACAGUUUAUACCGUAGCUUGCUACACCAUAAACUGUGAGUUGCGAACGGGUGAGUAACGCGUAGGUAACCUGCCUGGUAGCGGGGGAUAACUAUUGGAAACGAUAGCUAAUACCGCAUAAUAUUAAUUAUUGCAUGAUAAUUGAUUGAAAGAUGCAAUUGCAUCACUACCAGAUGGACCUGCGUUGUAUUAGCUAGUAGGUGAGGUAACGGCUCACCUAGGCGACGAUACAUAGCCGACCUGAGAGGGUGAUCGGCCACACUGGGACUGAGACACGGCCCAGACUCCUACGGGAGGCAGCAGUAGGGAAUCUUCGGCAAUGGACGAAAGUCUGACCGAGCAACGCCGCGUGAGUGAAGAAGGGUUUCGGAUCGUAAAGCUCGGUUGUAAGAGAAGAACGGGUGUGAGAGUGGAAAGUUCACACUGUGACGGUAUCUUACCAGAAAGGGACGGCUAACUACGUG
rnacentral:rRNA from 1 species